AGAUGUGAGGGCGAUCUGGCUGCGACAUCUGUCACCUUGUUGAUUACCAGGGUUGAUUCGGCUGAUCUGGCUGGCUAGGCGGGUGUUCCCUUCCUCCCUCACCGCUCCAUGUGCGUCCCUCCACUGGAAGCUACCCACUCAGUGGAAGAGGACAACCUUCCCUGAAUAGAGACUAACUGGUCUUGGGUGGAGGAUAUACAAGUAGCCGUGCUCCCCUGCUAGAGCCUCCAAACAAGCUCUCAAGAAACAUACUCACAAUUAUCACAGUUGUUAAUUAAGAAAAAAAUAACUGCGAACAAUGCUGCUUUAGAAUUUU
rnacentral:snRNA from 1 species